UUGUCUUGAGAAAGUAUAUGCUUAUACAUUGGACAAUCUUAAUGAUAUUAGACACGCUCUACGUAUGCUAAAGAAAUGUGGGCCACUCCUGGCGGUUAUUUAUAUUAGUCAAGAUUAUAACAAAUGUGUCAAAACAGUAGAGGUCUAUAAAUAUGAUCCAAAAUUUCCCGUUGGAAAUGAGAAAAAGCCAAUAACACAUGCAAUAACCGUAGUAUCUUUUGCUCUUGAGAAUGGGCCAUUUUUUCAUUGUCAAGACUCUCAAGGCCUUACUCAUGGUGAAGGUGGCUAUCUUAAAGUCGAUGUUACCUCAAUAAAGGAACUAUAUGCAUUCACAAUAAAGUAAUUGAGGGGCUGACUUGGAAUAUGAACUUAAUACCAAGGAAAUUAUUGGGUAUCUUUUCCUGUUCUGUAGAGGUGCCCUCUGUGGGUCGUGUAUGACUCUUGUCAGUUGUAAGGUUCCAGGGUUGCUGAAGAGUUGGGACACACUGGACAAUGCAAAAUAAACUUUGCUGUGUGAAAUACAUCAGCUUAAGGUCCUCAUCAGUGGGGUUCUGAAGGUCAAAAGCUUUGGGACAAGUUGUUGUAAUAUUGGGAGUAAAGCAUUUAUACUGCAGAAAAAACACUUUAGUUGCCGUUCUAAGUUUGGAUACUAGCGUGCGCUGGUGUAGGCUUCAAAGGAGCAAAACAGUUCAUUGGUCUUCAAUAAGGAGCAGUCGAAGUGUUAGCUCCCGUGCAUCUGAGUUUGCUCUUAUCUACUCCCUCCGUUCUAAAAUACUUUGCUCUUAUCUACUCCCUCCGUUCUAAAAUACUUGACUUUCCUUUGUUUAAAAAUGGACGUGCCUAUAUACUAAAACAUGUCUAGAUAAAUCUAUAUUUUGACAAAUGAAAGGCAUGUAUUGUGGAACGGAGGGAGUAGGUGGCACUUGCAUUUUGCUCCAAGCUAGAACUUGGCUCUGUUUGUCCUGGUACCUUCGAGAAUCAAAGCCAUGCGUAUGACUCUUCCCUAACAAGAGCAAGCUCUUUUUGUAAGGCACCUCUCAUUUUUAUUCUUCUAGAUACUCUGGGUAUUUUUGGACAUUCAAAAUACUGACAGUUUGGUACCUCCGGCUGCUUAGCGCGUGUUUGGGCUGCUUCCCAUUCUGUCAUUCUUAUCCGAUACUUUUGGUUUUAUUUCUCAGU